rnacentral:sRNA from 1 species
CUAUAAUGCCAUCUUUACUAAAAGCGAAAAAAAGAUUCUGUAACAAAGAUGGGAGAUGCACAUAAGGAGUUGGAACAAUCACAUAUAAACUAUGUGAAAGAAAUUGAAAAUUUGAAAAAUGAGUUGAUGGCAGUACGUUCCAAAUACAGUGAAGACAAAGCUAACUUACAAAAGCAACUGGAAGAAGCAAUGAAUACGCAAUUAGAACUUUCAGAACAACUUAAAUUUCAGAACAACUCUGAAGAUAAUGUUAAAAAACUACAAGAAGAGAUUGAGAAAAUUAGGCCAGGCUUUGAGGAGCAAAUUUUAUAUCUGCAAAAGCAAUUAGAUGCUACCACUGAUGAAAAGAAGGAAACAGUUACUCAACUCCAAAAUAUCAUUGAGGCUAAUUCUCAGCAUUACCAAAAAAAUAUUAAUAGUUUGCAGGAAGAGCUUUUACAGUUGAAAGCUAUACACCAAGAAGAGGUGAAAGAAUUGAUGUGCCAGAUUGAAGCAUCAGCUAAGGAACAUGAAGCAGAGAUAAAUAAGUUGAACGAGCUAAAAGAGAACUUAGUAAAACAAUGUGAGGCAAGUGAAAAGAACAUCCAGAAGAAGUAUGAAUGUGAGUUAG